UUAUACAUUUGAUUAUGAACAAUCUCAUUUCGUAUCUCUUUUCAUCCUAAUCAUUGGAAAAAUGCCAUUGAACCGUAUUUCAUGAAUG